rnacentral:rRNA from 1 species
UACAGAGGUCCCGAGCGUUUGUUCGGAUUCACUGGGCGUAAAGGGUGCGUAGGUGGCGAGGAAAGUCGGAUGUGAAAGCUCGGAGCUCAACUCCGAAAUGGCAUUGGAAACUACCUUGCUCGAGGGUUGGAGGGGGACUGGAAUUCUCGGUGUAGCAGUGAAAUGCGUAGAUAUCGAGAGGAACACCAGUGGCGAAGGCGAGUCCCUGGACAACUCCUGACACUGAGGCACGAAAGCUAGGGGAGCAAACAGG